AUCGAACGCUGGCGGCAGGCCUAACACAUGCAAGUCGAACGAGUGGCGGACGGGUGAGUAAUGUCUGGGCAACCGCCUGAUGGAGGGGGAUAACUACUGGAAACGGUAGCUAAUACCGCAUACCAUACGAUUUGCCCAGGUGGGAUUAGCUGGUGGGGGGGGUAACGGCUCACCAAGGCGACGAUCCCUAGCUGGUCUGAGAGGAUGACCGGCCACACUGGAACUGAGACACGGUCCAGACUCCUACGGGAGGCAGCAGUGGGGAAUAUUGCACAAUGGGCGCAAGCCUGAUGCAGCCAUGCCGCGUGUAUGAAGAAGGCCUUCGGGUUGUAAAGUACUUUCAGCGGGGAGGCGUUACCCGCAGAAGAAGCACCGGCUAACUCCGUGCCAGCAGCCGCGGUAAUAC
rnacentral:rRNA from 1 species